UACGUAGGGGGCAAGCGUUAUCCGGAUUUACUGGGUGUAAAGGGAGCGUAGGCGGCGAUGCAAGUCAGAAGUGAAAGCCCGGGGCUCAACUCCGGGACUGCUUUUGAAACUGUGUUGCUAGAUUGCAGGAGAGGUAAGUGGAAUUCCUAGUGUAGCGGUGAAAUGCGUAGAUAUUAGGAGGAACACCAGUGGCGAAGGCGGCAUACUGGACUGUAAAUGACGCUGAGGCUCGAAAGCGUGGGGAGCAAACAGG
rnacentral:rRNA from 1 species